rnacentral:misc_RNA from 1 species
AACGCACAUUGCGCCCCCCUCGCGGGGGGCACGCCUGUCCGAGCGUCGCCACGAACGUCGAGCUCCCGCUCGGUCUUGGGGCUCGUCCGCGCGGGCCUGGGUCCUGCGGACGGUCCCGCAAACGGUAGGCGGUGCCUUCCCUUCACCACGAAAGUUGCACGCCUGCGAGGUCGCGGAGGAAAACAGUCGUCGACCGUCUGCAGCGGGCUGCCUUUCAUCUGAGGCGAUAGGGGAGGUGUCCGGCCGAAUGUGAACACUGACGGAGGGCGCGACGGUCUUGCCGGGGCCCCUCCAACCACGUUCGACCUCGGAUCAGGCGGGGAUACCCGCUGAACUUAA